rnacentral:lncRNA from 1 species
AAUUACAUGACAUCUAGACAACUAAAACAUUCUUGAUUGGUGCUUCGUUUUCAAGAAGACAUUAUUUGUAUUACAUAAUUCCAUGUAUGCCAUGUUAGUGUUAAGGUUGUGAUACGUUGUAUGUUUUAAUCCCUGAGUGCCUAUUGGGAAAUCAUUCAUUUUUCAAUAAAAAAAAAUGUGUACUUAUUUUUGAGAUAAUAAAGAAUACCCACCG